GAUAAUUGGCUUGCGAUAACGAAAUGUCCUUAGAGACGAUGCAUUUUGAUCCCUCGGUGUCGACUCUUGUUAUCAUUAUGAAGCAGAUUCACCACGUGUUUGAUUGUUCACCCACCAACAUGAACGUGAGUUGAGUUCAAGUUGUCUCGAGACAAUUU
rfam:Beta vulgaris subsp. vulgaris Bvchr2.sca001.con0017.1, whole genome shotgun sequence.